UCAUGCUCCUGUGGAGGCACUUCCCCCUGAUGGCUAUGGGCAGUAUGAGGUGUGGCCACCUAUAAAGACAAGCUGCCGCUGACAACUUUUAACAGAUCUGCUCUCCUGCUCACACACUUAGAGUUUCAAAAUGUUUAAACAUAAGAAAGGAGAACACGGACCCGAGCAUGGGCAUGAGCAUGAGCAUGGAGAGAAACAUGGUCAUGAGCAUGGAGAGAAACAUGGUCAUGGACACCAUGAACAUGGGCAUGAACACCAUGAACAUGGGCAUGAACACCAUAAGCAUGGAGAGAAACACUGUCAUGAGCACCAUGGUCAUGGAGAGAAACACGGACACGAUGACAAACACAAGCACUAGCUUGGGUUCGGCCACGGACGAAAGUCAGACGGCUCCUGCAGUGAUGGCUCCGAUCAGGAAUUCAAGUAAAAUGUCACCUGGGGAAUUUGUAGAACAUCAUUUUUUUUAAUAGGGUUUAAAUCCACAUGUAAUCAUAGAAUUUGCUCUGCAUUUGAAUUGUGUUAAUAUUUUUAGUAAAAAGAGGUAAAAACAUGCUUUUAUCGGGAUGUUCAGCCUUGAACUAAUAAAUGUAAUCUUUAAAUCAAUUGGAUUCUCUCUACACAUUUGUAGCUUCUGAAAGGUUGUGAUCUGUUCAGUCAGACCACUGCCAUUGUGUGAUAUGAUUAGAUUAAUAUGUUGUUGUAACUCCUCUGAAUCUGUUAUUUGAUUUAAAAAAAAUAUCAUAGCAAGUCAAACAUAGAAGCCAGCAUCACAGUGAGUAGCACCUUGUGUUUCCGCAUGUUCAGCUUUGCAUGUUUUUGCUCCAAGCAGAUUGUGCAGGUGGGAGGAGAGGCACGUUCAUCCAGAUAAAACAGUGAACUGUCAGUGGACUAUGUGUGAUGAAGCAAUGUAAUUUUACUUUUUUUAUCAACAAGUAAAAAUUAAAGGCUAUCAGCGCAUGAAAACAUAAA